UAUUUAGAUGGUUGUAUUGGUUUCCCUAACGAAUCUAGUUAGGUCUCAGUUUUCUGUUUGGUGGCUACCCUAUAGCUAUCUGUUGUUUUAUGUUUCUAUUCUCAUUGUAAAUCUAGGGUAUGCCCUUUAUAAUGUUUGUAUUUUCUUCUU